AUUGAACGCUGGCGGCAGGCUUAACACAUGCAAGUCGAGCGAGCGGCGGACGGGUGAGUAAUGUAUGGGAAACUGCCUGAUGGAGGGGGAUAACUACUGGAAACGGUAGCUAAUACCGCAUAACAUCAGAUGUGCCCAGAUGGGAUUAGCGAGUAGGGGGGGUAAUGGCUCACCUAGGCGACGAUCCCUAGCUGGUCUGAGAGGAUGACCAGCCACACUGGAACGGAGACACGGUCCAGACUCCUACGGGAGGCAGCAGUGGGGAAUUUUGUACAAUGGGCGCAACCCUGAGGCAGCCAUGCCGCGUGUGUGAAGAAGGCCUUCGGGUUGUAAAGCACUUUCAGCGGGGAGGCGGUACUCGCAGAAGAAGCACCGGCUAACUCCGUGCCAGCAGCCGCGGUAAUAC
rnacentral:rRNA from 1 species